AGCUAAAAACCAUACUAUGAAUCUUGCGAAUCAUUCGGUUCUGAUAACAUUAAUAGUUUCAAUUGCUUUUGAGUCAUUGCUAAUGUGCCUUUGCUAGAAACCAGUUAAAAACCAUUUUUAAAAGAUACCAAUAAUCUUCUAAGAAAUUCAUUGCUUAAUUUGGCAACGCAUCGAUAAGAUACCAAAUUAUUCCCGAAAGAUUCAGUUAAUAAUCAUAAAAAAUAAUCGAAUAUUUUAGCAACGCGCCUCAAAUUUUUCCGGCUGUCAGCAAACCGCGUGGCUGAAAUUGUUGACAAAAAAAAUCAUCUCCCGGCAAAAUGUUACUAUAUUGGGCUGGUCCGGUAGGCAACGGCAACGGUACCGGUGCUGCAAGGAUGAGCGCAGAUAGUCGGGUUUCUCCAGAUCGAGGAACAGGCGGCACUUGGUUCCGGAACAGAAGUUGGAGAGGGAGGCUACGUGAAAACCUUAGAGCAAUGUAAUAAAAGGACUAUGGAGAAUCCAUCCAUUGUUUAAAAAAUGCGACGUACUCAGACACGAGAACCAGCGCCACGGGGCACGCGGGGCAGCACACGGGGCAGCAGCGCCAAGAAAGGUUCAGCAGUGCUCCUUCAACACGAAGUAGGAUGGAUCGGAAGUGCCAUUGCAUUUGGUACGGAAAAUGCUGCAGGAUUAGGAGCAUCCUAAAGGAGUAUCAGUUAACAUCCGCAGGUAGCGGAAGGUUAAUAUUUCAAUGAUUAAUCUAAAUGUAAUAAAAAUCG